GAUGAACGCUGGCGGCGUGCCUAAUACAUGCAAGUCGAGCGAACGGACGAGAAGCUUGCUUCUCUGAUGUUAGCGGCGGACGGGUGAGUAACACGUGGAUAACCUACCUAUAAGACUGGGAUAACUUCGGGAAACCGGAGCUAAUACCGGAUAAUAUUUUGAACCGCAUGGUUCAAAAGUGAAAGACGGUCUUGCUGUCGCUUAUAGAUGGAUCCGCGCUGCAUUAGCUAGUUGGUAAGGUAACGGCUUACCAAGGCAACGAUGCAUAGCCGACCUGAGAGGGUGAUCGGCCACACUGGAACUGAGACACGGUCCAGACUCCUACGGGAGGCAGCAGUAGGGAAUCUUCCGCAAUGGGCGAAAGCCUGACGGAGCAACGCCGCGUGAGUGAUGAAGGUCUUCGGAUCGUAAAACUCUGUUAUUAGGGAAGAACAUAUGUGUAAGUAACUGUGCACAUCUAGACGGUACCUAAUCAGAAAGCCACGGCUAACUACGUG
rnacentral:rRNA from 1 species